rnacentral:miRNA from 10 species
GUGUGUGUGUGUAUGUGUGUAUUUGUGUGUAUAUGUGUGUAUAUACACACACACACACACACACAGGNUUUAU